GCCGUGAUCGUCUAGUGGUUAGGAGAUUGCGUUGUCGCCUUGAUAACUUAGGUUUGAAUCCUGGUUAUGGCA